rnacentral:rRNA from 2 species
AGUCUGAUGGAGCAACGCCGCGUGAGUGAAGAAGGCUUUCGGGUCGUAAAACUCUGUUGUUGGAGAAGAAUGGUCGGCAGAGUAACUGUUGUCGGCGUGACGGUAUCCAACCAGAAAGCCACGGCUAACUACGUGCCAGCAGCCGCGGUAAUACGUAGGUGGCAAGCGUUAUCCGGAUUUAUUGGGCGUAAAGCGAGCGCAGGCGGUUUUUUAAGUCUGAUGUGAAAGCCCUCGGCUUAACCGAGGAAGUGCAUCGGAAACUGGGAAACUUGAGUGCAGAAGAGGACAGUGGAACUCCAUGUGUAGCGGUGAAAUGCGUAGAUAUAUGGAAGAACACCAGUGGCGAAGGCGGCUGUCUGGUCUGUAACUGACGCUGAGGCUCGAAAGCAUGGGUAGCGAACAGGAUUAGAUACCCUGGUAGUCCAUGCCGUAAACGAUGAAUGCUAGGUGUUGGAGGGUUUCCGCCCUUCAGUGCCGCAGCUAACGCAUUAAGCAUUCCGCCUGGGGAGUACGACCGCAAGGUUGAAACUCAAAGGAAUUGACGGGGGCCCGCACAAGCGGUGGAGCAUGUGGUUUAAUUCGAAGCAACGCGAAGAACCUUACCAGGUCUUGACAUCUUUUGAUCACUUGAGAGAUCAGGUUUCCCCUUCGGGGCAAAAUGACAGGUGGUGCAUGGUUGUCGUCAGCUCGUGUCGUGAGAUGUGG